UAAAGGGUCCGUAGGCGGUUUAGUAAGUCAGUGGUGAAAGCCCAUCGCUCAACGAUGGAACGGCCAUUGAUACUGCUAGACUUGAAUUACUAGGAAGUAACUAGAAUAUGUAGUGUAGCGGUGAAAUGCUUAGAUAUUACAUGGAAUACCAAUUGCGAAGGCAGGUUACUACUAGUGGAUUGACGCUGAUGGACGAAAGCGUGGGGAGCGAACAGGAUUAGAUACCUAGU
rnacentral:rRNA from 1 species